CUUCUCGAUUUGCUUCGCGCUCUUUCAUUUUCUUCUUUUUCCUUCGGUUUGACUUCGGUUUCGGUCGUCGAUGGUGUAUUGUCUCGCUCCGCCGCGAGAGCGUCGGCUUUUGUUGUUGCUGCGUUUGGUGAUCGGAUCGGUAUGGGAUCGGGGAGGCCUUCGUGUGCCGUGUGCGGAGGGCAUAUGAUUUGGGCGGAGUUCGGUGCCGAAUCCCGAAGGCAAUUGAGCUUGCCGCGUGAGGUCUUGCGGUGUUUGGCUCGGGCAUGGUGCUCUGUUAGUUUUUUGUUUUUUCGCUUGCGGCGAACCUGGGCGCCCAGCCUUAAUUGAGACAGGGUGCUAUGGGAUCAUUGUUAGCUUUGGCAUAUGGCUUCUGACCGAGCUGCUUUGGUUUCAUGGUUAAUGGACGGUUUUGGUAGGACUGGCAGCUUUGGGUGUGACGAAAUGAAUGUCUUGGAUGUGCGCGAUGAAUGUGCGCACCAGCUUGUGCUCAUAUAUGUGUGUGUGUGCAGGCACUCGUGCGCGAGCGCGGGUGUGUCGAUUUUGUUGUUUUAUUCAUUGCCUGAUGUUAAUCUGGUUAAGUUUGUCAUGAAGAAUGCUGAUUCUAAUAGGAGGAACAUGCUGAUGAUGUAAAUAGAUUUCACAAAAGUGCUUCACUGGUCUAAAGCUUCCGUUAACUCUCUGGUCCAACUGAGGAUAAAGCCUAUCUCCUUAAGGAACUGUCUCAAUAAAAGUUGAGCAUCUGAAAUUUAUACAA